rnacentral:rRNA from 1 species
CCCUUAGAUGUUCUGGGCCGCACGCGCGCUACACUGAUGCAUUCAACGAGUCUAAAACCUGGUCUGAUAGGGCUGGGUAAUCUUUUGAAAGUGCAUCGUGAUUGGGAUAGAUGAUUGCAAUUCUUCAUCUUCAACGAGGAAUGCCUAGUAAACGCAAGUCAUCAGCUUGCAUUGAUUACGUCCCUGCCCUUUGUACACACCGCCCGUCGCUCCUACCGAUUGAAUGAUCCGAUGAAUACCAUGGAUUGAGAGUACGAAUGGGUUCGCUCAUUUCUGCUGCUCGAGGAGUGGAGUAAAUCUUAUCAUUUAGAGGAAGGAGAAGUCGUAACA